UCCCGUUUAGCUUAAUUGGUAAAAGCCACCGGCUCAUAACCGGAAGAUAGAGGGUUCGAAUCCCUUGGCGGGAACCA
rnacentral:tRNA from 1 species